UACGUAGGGUGCGAGCGUUGUCCGGAAUUAUUGGGCGUAAAGAGCUUGUAGGCAGGUUUGUCGCGUCUGCUGUGAAAAUCCGGGGCUCAACCCCGGACUUGCAGUGGGUACGGGCAGACUAGAGUGUGGUAGGGGCAGACUGGAAUUCCCGGUGUAGCGGUGAAAUGCGCAGAUAUGGGAGGAACACCAGUGGCGAAGGCGGCACUCUGGGCUGGUACUGACGCUGAGGAGCGAAAGCGUGGGGAGCGAACGAGGA
rnacentral:rRNA from 1 species